AGAUUGAACGCUGGCGGCAUGCUUUACACAUGCAAGUCGUGCGGCAGCGCGGGGGCAACCCUGGCGGCGAGCGGCGAACGGGUGAGGAAUACAUCGGAACGUACCCCGGAGUGGGGAUAACCCAGCGAAAGUUGGACUAAUACCGCAUAUGCUCUGAGGAGGAAAGCAGGGGUACUUCGCAAGAGGCCUUGCGCUACGUGGGACGCGGCCGAUGUCCGAUUAGCUAGUUGGGUAGGGUAAUGGCUCGACCAAGGCGACGAUCGGUAGCUGGUCUGAGAGGAUGAUCAGCCACACGUGGGACUGAGACGACGGCCCAGCCUACCGUACGGGAGCAGCAGGUAGGGUAAUUUUACGGA
rnacentral:rRNA from 1 species